CUGAGAUCGCACUACUGCACUCCAGCCUGGGUGACAGAGUGGGACUCUGUCUCAAAAAAUAAUUUUAAUGAAACCUGCCUCCCAAACAUUAUAUUGCAGCAAUCUUAGAAGAAUGCACCACCUCUGGAAUAGAGAAGCAGUUGGGAAAGAAGUGUUUCAUGUUUCCUACACCUGGGCAACAGGCAGGCCCCUGACAACCACAAGUAAUUCUUUCCUGAGAGCCGGGAUCUUGCAACAGCUUGUCAUUAGUGCUGUUUAGCAUUUAAUUUGCCUUUAGUUAGGUAACAAGCAUUUAUGGAUUACCUGUUAGGAACGAAUGCACAGUAUGGGAACAGAGGGAUGAAUGAGGCACAGACUCUGCUCACAGCCUACUUGGACUAGAAAUAUCUACUCAGGAAAGAAAACUUGAAAGCAGUUAGCAAAUGCAAACCGAUAUACCACUACAGGGAAUCAUCACUCUUUCCGAAUUCAAGGCUCUAACUGCUGGCACACUUCUAAGGAAAAAAGAUAUGCGUUUCUGCAUCCCGUCUCAUGAUGGGAGUGAAGAUAUGCCAGUCACGCCUUCUGUGGGCUAAGGAACGGUCCGGCCUUCUCUUCCUCUGCAGAGUCCGGGCGUGAUGGAGACGCAGGAUGGAGGCAGCCAUCACCCAUUGAAAAACAGCCUGUCUGCCAGAUCUGGUGACCCCCCCCUAAGGUCCUUGGUAAAAACUGAGGCCUAGUUGUGUCCAGGAUGGCAGUGAGCUGGGAUUCAUUCAUGGCAGCCCCCAGGAGAUUGCGUUUUUAAACCAGCCCAAGGCAUGUGGUGGACAUGGAUUGGCAGCACCUACAGAUAACGGGGAAGGCUUUCCAAGGGGCCAAACGGUCCAUAGCAGUUAGGGAAGCGAACGUUAGAAGUGCAGGUCAAGGUCUCAGAGUGAGCAGUGUGGCUGGGCCAGAGAGGGCCUUCCAAGUGCAUAGCCAGUGGAGGCAGCUGGACACAGCUGACAUGACAAGGCAAGGCUGGAUCCGUCAGACUCUGGGAAUGCUCCCAGCCAUCAGGCUUCACGGAGCACUGCUUCUGUGCUAAGUUCCUGAUGCCAAGGAAAGUGAGAGAGACAUGGCCCUGGCCUCAAGAAGCUUUCCCGGCAGAUGGCCGUGUAUCCGGGAUAUGUUAAGGGAGGUGUAAUAUUAACCAAAAGUGGAGCUCUGAGCUCCUACCCUUGGCAGAGGGCUUCUUGGAGUAGAUCAUGCCUGGACUGUGCCCAAGGGCGUCUUGGAGUAGAUCGUGCCUGGAUCGCACUGAAUCAGUGUAAGCUGGGUCAAGUCGGGGAAUGGCAACCCAGGCGGAGGGAAGUGCAUACUUGGGACACGGAGGGCACAGACAAGCCGUGGUUCUCUGGCAGUGAGAUGGGUGCCAGGCCACAAACUGGAUCUGAGAGAUUAUUUCCCCAUCUGGGAACUGCAUGUACUAUGGAUUGUAAAGGGUCAACCUGAGAGACAGAAACAGGGAAAAGGCCCUCAACCAUUCACUUCAGUGUCUGGGGAUGCGUGGACUGGGGAAGAGUCUCUGGCUGGCUCCAAUGCGGUCUCUGCUUCUGCAGAGGGGGCCUUGCUCACACAGUCUUCAGACUUGCAUUCCCAGCUGGUGCCCAGCACCACGAAUAUAUGGGAAGAUAACAACUCUAAAGAGGGAUAAAAUGUAUUUUUUGGUCGGUUUUUAUUUUUCAAACACAUUUAGCAUUCUCUGGUUUUUAAAAAAUGCUUUUAAUAGAGCACAGACUCCUUUCCUCAGUGGUGAGGAGACAGAUUUAAGGGCUGUAGCUCAGACAGUCAGUGCCAGCUAGCAUUCAGGGAUCCAAGUGUGAGAAUCAAAUUGUCGUUUGAUGUGUGGAUUUGGCAAAGGCUCAGCACGCCUUGGAGACGGUGCCCGUGGCCCACACUGGGUGGCAGGUGCUUCUGCCUUGGGCUCUCUGCUCCUGCCGGCCGGGCCUGUCAUCGGCUGAAAAGCCGGCAUCUCCCACACCCAUCAGCUCCUCUCUGGAGCUGAGUCGCUGGACACUGUGACCACACUUAAGAGGCACAGCAUGCUCCUGCUGGGUGGAAUUUUAGGACACCUGGUCUGUGACCUCUUCAUUAUGACAUAAAAGGGACCUUCCCUGCAGUCCCACAAAUAGGAACAGAGCAGCACUGGAGCUGGCGCCCGACUCCCGGCAGGGAAGGGUUCUGUCCUCAUUUGGGCGUAUUCUGUUUCUGCCCACCUGGUGUGUGCCCUCCCUGACUCCUGCCCCAUUUCCAGACCCGGCUCACGCGUACUUCUCACACUAAGCAGUCUCACUGAAGCCACCGCUUGGAAUCUGCGGUGUUUACUGUCUGCCCCGCCCCUUUUGUUUGCCCGUUUGUUAUGGAGGUGUGUGUUUAAACGGGCAAAGCAGCGUGCUGCCAGGGACACCAGGAAAGCCCACUUAGCCAUCAACUGGAGACUCUGACAACUAGAAGAAACCUGGAAGGCCACGUGACAGAUAUGGAGACAGGCUGAGAGAAGGCAAGGGUCAUACAUGCCUGGGUCAUGCAGCCAGCCAGGGACAAAGCCGGGACUUUAGAGCCCAGGUCCUCUGCUCCCUGCCAGGCCUCCUUCCACAAGGACGUGGGCGAUUGCUGAGAGCAGAGCCCCGAGGGAAUGGAAUGGAGGGAACUUGAUUAGAAGGGGGAGAAUACCAAGCACAGGGCCUUGCAGAGCAGGUGCUCCUAAAUGCCCAAGAGAUGCAGGAAGAGAGGGAGAGAUGGGAGUGUCAAGGAAGGGUCUCAGUAGCUCUAUGGGCACCACGUUUCUGGGCUUGGGACAGAGAAAGAAGGGCAGAAGGAAGGGCACCGGAAACACAGCUACACCUAGAUUUGGAAAGCCAGUGACCUCGGAAAGGAUGGUCCGGACAUGGGGAAGACCACGAGCCAGGCUGCACUUGUAGGAAGGACCAGGACCUGAGCCACUGGCAGUAAAGAAAUGUCACUAAGGAAGUGGGGGCAAUGGCAGGAAGUGGGGGUCCAGGGUAAGGAGACAGGAGGCCAGGCUGGGUCUUGUUUGGGAAGAUGCAGCCUCCAUGGGCCAAGCAGGAACAGUAGGAAAACCCUGACGGUGCAGUCCCCACUCUCAGGACGUCCCUGUCUCCAAAGGAAACAGCCACACAACACUGAGAGUGGAAGAGGAUGUCAAUGGGCAGGAAUGGAGCCAAACUCUACGGGAGAACGGAGCUGGCCAGGCAGAGCUGCUGGACACCUGAGGCUCCCUCCUUCCACCACAAACACCACUGCCCCAUGGCCUAGAGAGAACCAUCCUCUGACGUGAGCAGGACAAUGACGAUCACCACUGUGUAAAUCCUGACACUGGACCAGAGGAAUUGACUUACCUGCUUCAGCUCCAGGUGAGCACAGCCAGAACCAUGCUCAGAAGCCAGCACACGAAGGCCUGCAACUGCAGACCCCUAAGAAACCUUGGAGAUGCUCUCAGACAGUGCCCACCUCACUUUGCAGAUGGAGUGACUCACAGCUGGGACAAAGGUCCACUCGCUCUUGCCCCUGCAGUCUACCCACAAAGCAGCCAGGAGAGCUUCUAAAAAUGCAAAGCAGGUGGCGUUCUUCUGAAUAAGCCCUCCCAUGGCUCCCUAUCUUAGUACAAAAGCUGAAAUCUCAUGACCUGUGAGGCCCUCCAGCUGGCUCGCAGCCACCCCUCCAAAACCGAGUGCCUGCCAGCGCAUUGCCCACCCAGCUGCAGCCAGGCCCCCCACUGCUCAGCACCAUCUCCUCAGAGGCCCCCCCAUUCUUCCACGGGCAUGUUCCCUAUCCCCUUAGAGCACGCUUGGGCCUGAACUGAUCUUGGGUUCUGUCGCCUGUCUACCCCACUGGAAUGCAAACUCCACAGAGGCAGGGCUUUCUCUGUCCCCUGCCGCAUCCACAGUGCCGGGAACAGUGCCUGGCAUGGAGCAGGUGCAGUCGAAUGACCGACUCCAUGAAGUGAGGUGAGUCACCCACCACGCAGGGAAGAGUGGACAUGGGUAAACAGGCGCUGCCUGGGCUCCAGGCACACUGACUGCAUCCUGGCUGCUUGACUGAUGUGGUUAAUAAAUUACUAGAAGGCAAGCCCUCUAGGGCACAGCAGACUGGAUACUUGAUUAACCCAGGGUCUGUGUUAAUUCCAGGUGCCAAAAUAAUUUCUAGAAUUUCACCUGAGACCUAGAGGUAGUUCAUUUGAAAAUAAACAUGAUUUUCCAGAAGGCUCGAGCUUUCUCAAGGAAAGCAAUGCCCUGGACUCUCCUUCCACAGGAAAUCAGGAAGACAGGCUUUGGAAUUCCCAGUGGGGAAGCACAGUUGGAGGGGCCGGCCUCGGGCACCACAGUGCGCAACGCUGAACACAGGGCUCCCAGGCAGAGACUGGGAGGUCCCGACACCUGGACCCACAGGUGCACCCGCAUCUCCCAUGCUUUUACCCUUUCUCCUCCACCCCAUUUAUAGAAGUGAUCAGAGGUGAAUGAGGAAAUAGUGGGGGAACUGACCCCCUGGAAAGUCUGAAUUUGAGUGAAAUAAUGGGGAGAAGUGAACCCCUGGAAAGUCUGAAUUCUGCUUCAUCAAAGCCCAACACGGGCCUGUUUCCCUCUGCUGUCAACCCCAGGGAAUGGG
rnacentral:lncRNA from 1 species